rnacentral:rRNA from 1 species
CCUACGGGAGGCAGCAGUGGGGAAUAUUGGGCAAUGGACGCAAGUCUGACCCAGCAACGCCGCGUGAAGGAAGAAGGCUUUCGGGUUGUAAACUUCUUUUAAGGGGGAAGAGCAGAAGACGGUACCCCUUGAAUAAGCCACGGCUAACUACGUGCCAGCAGCCGCGGUAAUACGUAGGUGGCAAUCGUUGUCCGGAUUUACUGGGUGUAAAGGGUGCGUAGGCGGGAACACAAGUCAGGCGUGAAAUACCGGGGCUCAACUCCGGGGCUGCGCUUGAAACUGUGUUUCUUGAGUGAAGUAGAGGCAGGCGGAAUUCCUAGUGUAGCGGUGGAAUGCGUAGAUAUUAGGAGGAACACCAGUGGCGAAGGCGGCCUGCUGGGCUUUAACUGACGCUGAUGCACGAAAGCAUGGGGAGCAAACAGGAUUAGAUACCCCAGUAGUC